rnacentral:rRNA from 1 species
UACGUAGGGGGCAAGCGUUGUCCGGAUUUAUUGGGCGUAAAGAGCGUGUAGGCGGCUUGGUAGGUCCGCUGUGAAAACUCGAGGCUCAACCUCGAGAUGUCGGCGGAAACCACUUGGCUAGAGUCCGGAAGAGGAGAGUGGAAUUCCCGGUGUAGCGGUGAAAUGCGCAGAUAUCGGGAGGAACACCAGAGGCGAAGGCGGCGACCUGGACAGAUACUGACACUCAACUACGAAAGCGUGGGUAGCAAACAGG